rnacentral:rRNA from 1 species
GACGAACGCUGGCGGCGUGCUUAACACAUGCAAGUCGAACGGAAAGGCCCUGCUCUUGUGGGGUGCUCGAGUGGCGAACGGGUGAGUAACACGUGAGUAACCUGCCCUUGACUUUGGGAUAACUUCAGGAAACUGGGGCUAAUACCGGAUAGGAGCUCCUGCUGCAUGGUGGGGGUUGGAAAGUUUCGGCGGUUGGGGAUGGACUCGCGGCUUAUCAGCUUGUUGGUGGGGUAGUGGCUUACCAAGGCUUUGACGGGUAGCCGGCCUGAGAGGGUGACCGGCCACAUUGGGACUGAGAUGCGGCCCAGACUCCUACGGGAGGCAGCAGUGGGGAAUAUUGCACGAGGGGCGGAAGCCGGAUGCAGCAACGCCGCGUGCGGGAUGACGGCCUUCGGGUUGUAAACCGCUUGCGCCUGUAACGAAGCGUGAGUGACGGUAAUGUGUAAAGAAGCACCGGCUAACUACGUG